AUUGAACGCUGGCGGAAUGCUUUACACAUGCAAGUCGAACGGCAGCACGGACUUCGGUCUGGUGGCGAGUGGCGAACGGGUGAGUAAUAUAUCGGAACGUAUCCAAUAAUGGGGGAUAACUAAUCGAAAGGUUGGCUAAUACCGCAUACGUCCUACGGGAGAAAGCUAGGGACCUUCGGGCCUGGCGUUAAUGGAGCGGCCGAUAUCUGAUUAGCUAGUUGGUGAGGUAAAGGCUCACCAAGGCGACGGUCAGUAGCUGGUCUGAGAGGACGACCAGCCACACUGGAACUGAGACACGGUCCAGACUCCUACGGGAGGCAGCAGUGGGGAAUUUUGGACAAUGGGCGCAAGCCUGAUCCAGCCAUUCCGCGUGAGUGAAGAAGGCCUUCGGGUUGUAAAGCUCUUUCGCAAGGGAAGGAAACUUAUCCUCUAGCAUAGGGUGAGGUUGACGGUACCUUGAUAAGAAGCACCGGCUAACUACGUGCCAGCCGCCGCUGUAAGAC
rnacentral:rRNA from 1 species